UCGAGCGGAUGAAGGGAGCUUGCUCCUGGAUUCAGCGGCGGACGGGUGAGUAAUGCCUAGGAAUCUGCCUGGUAGUGGGGGAUAACGUCCGGAAACGGGCGCUAAUACCGCAUACGUCCUGAGGGAGAAAGUGGGGGAUCUUCGGACCUCACGCUAUCAGAUGAGCCUAGGUCGGAUUAGCUAGUUGGUGGGGUAAAGGCCUACCAAGGCGACGAUCCGUAACUGGUYUGAGAGGAUGAUCAGUCACMCUGGAACUGAGACACGGUCCAGACUCCUWCGGGAGGCMGCAGUGGGGAAUWUUGGACMAUGGGCGAAAGCCUGAUCCARCCAUGCCGCGUGUGUGAAGAAGGUCUUCGGAUUGUAAAGCMCUUUAAGUUGGGAGGAAGGGCAGUAAGUUAAUWCCUUGCUGUUUUGACGUUACCAACAGAAUAAGCMCCGGCUAACUUCGUGCCAGCAGCCGCGGUAAUACGAAGGGUGCAAGCGUUAAUCGGAAUUACUGGGCGUAAAGCGCGCGUAGGUGGUUCAGCAAGUUGGAUGUGAAAUCCCCGGGCUCAACCUGGGAACUGCAUCCAAAACUWCUGAGCUAGAGUACGGUAGAGGGUGGUGGAAUUUCCUGUGUAGCGGUGAAAUGSGUAGAUAUAGGAAGGAACMCCAGUGGCGAAGGCGACCMCCUGGACUGAUMCUGACMCUGAGGUGCGAAAGCGUGGGGAGCAAACAGGAUUAGAUWCCCUGGUAGUCCMCSCCGUAAACGAUGUYGACUAGCCGUUGGGAUCCUUGAG
rnacentral:rRNA from 1 species